AAUCAACGCUGGCGGCGUGCCUCAGACAUGCAAGUCGAACGCGAAAGGUUCCUUCGGGAACCGAGUAGAGUGGCGCACGGGUGAGUAACACGUAGGUAAUUUGCCUUUGGGUGGGGAAUAACAGCCGGAAACGGCUGCUAAUACCGCAUAAUGCAGCGGCUCGACAUCGAGACAGUUGUUAAAGCGGGGGAUCGCAAGACCUCGCGCCUAAAGAGAAGCCUGCGGCAGAUUAGCUAGUUGGUAGGGUAAUGGCCUACCAAGGCGACGAUCUGUAACCGGCCUGAGAGGGCGGUCGGUCACACUGACACUGACAUACGGGUCAGACUCCUACGGGAGGCAGCAGUCGGGAA
rnacentral:rRNA from 1 species